GCGCCUUCUAGCCAUGAUGGAGGCGCGGCACACAGCUCAGUAGCACGUGGCUAACCUGCCCUUGGGACGGAAGCACCCCCGGGAAACUGGGGCUAAUUUCUGAUAGGUGAAGGCUUCUGGAAUGGACUUUCGCCUAAAGGACGCUUAGAUCAUGCUUCUAGGCGUUGCCCAAGGAUGGGGCCGCGGCCGAUCAGGUUGUUGGUGAGGUAAUGGCUCACCAAGCCUAUAACCGGUGCGGGCCGUGAGAGCGGGAGCCCGGAGAUGGGCACUGAGACAAGGGCCCAGGCCCUACGGGGCGCAACAGGCGCGAAAACUUCGCAAUAAGCGAAAGCUUGACGGGGCUAUCCCGAGUGCCAUCCGCUGAGGAUGGCUUUUCUCUAGUAUAGAUAGCUGGGGGAAUAAGGAGAGGGCAAGUCUGGUGUCAGCCGCCGCGGUAAUACCAGCUCUCCGAGUGGUGUGGACGAUUAUUGGGCCUAAAGCAUCCGUAGCCGGCUGAGCAAGUCCCCUGUUAAACCCACCGAUUUAAUCGUUGGUCUGCGGGGGAUACUGCUCGGCUAGGGGACGAGAGAGGCAGACGGUAUUCCCGGGGUAGGGGUGAAAUCCUAUAAUCCCGAGAAGACCACCAGUGGCGAAGGCUGUCUGCUAGAACGCGCCCGACGGUGAGGGAUGAAAGCUGGGGGAGCGAACCGGAUUAGAUACCCGGGUAGUCCCAGCUGUAAACGAUGCAGACUAGGUGUUUGGACGGCCACGUGCCGUUCUAGUGCCGCAGGGAAGCUGUUAAGUCUGCCGCCUGGGGGAGUACGAUCGCAAGAUUGAAACUUAAAAGGAAUUGGCGGGGGG
rnacentral:rRNA from 1 species